rnacentral:rRNA from 1 species
GACGAACGCUGGCGGCGUGCUUAACACAUGCAAGUCGAGCGGUAAGGCCCUUUCGGGGGUACACGAGCGGCGAACGGGUGAGUAACACGUGGGUGACCUGCCCUUAGCUCUGGGAUAAGCCUGGGAAACUGGGUCUAAUACCGGAUAUGACCUCAUGACGCAUGUUGUGGGGUGGAAAGCCUUGUGCGGCUAGGGAUGGACCCGCGGCCUAUCCAGCUUGUUGGUGGGGUAAUGGGCCACCAAGGCGACGACGGGUAGCCGGCCUGAGAGGGCGACCGGCCACACUGGGACUGAGACACGGCCCAGACUCCUACGGGAGGCAGCAGUGGGGAAUUUGCGCAAUGGCGAAAGCCUGACGCAGCGACGCCGCGUGAGGGAUGACGGCCGU